GUUGGAUAUGGUGAUGCUGUACCAAAAAGCCUGCUUGGUAAAAUGAUCGGUUGUGUAUGUGCUGUAACGGGUGUAUUUGUACUGGCAGUUCUCAUUCCAGUUUUGGUGUCGAAU
rnacentral:sRNA from 1 species